AAGUGCCCCGUCCUCCCCAGAGCAGUGUGAAAUCUACCCACUCUGGAACUCUCUCCUACUGACACAAGAGAUGGAGGGAGUAAAGGAGAGAGAGAGGGAGCGUGGAGAGGAGAAAGAGAGCGACGAGAUGGAGGAAGAGGAGAAAGAGAGCGAGGCUGAAGAGGAAGGUGGUGAAGAGGAGGAGGAUGAAGAUGCAGAGGGAGCAGCGUUGGUGUGGCAGGAGGGCUCGUACGGAGAGGAUGACCUGGGCCUACCCAUAAUGCACUGGGAGGCGCUGAGCCUGCGCAUCGCCGAGCUAGAGAAACAGGAAGAGGAAAAGAGAGAGAAGACAAAGUCUUCCAGUGUCCUGGAACGAGGGAAGAUGCUGUCCAUGAGCCGGCCAGGAGAGAGAGAUCGAGGGAACAGUAAAGAGAGCUGGGAGGACGGAGGAGAGGCGGAGGACUGCAAUAGCCGUGUGACAGCCCUGACCGCUCGUCUUUCAAAUCAGAUGAACCUCCAGCUGUGCUUCAUCAAUGACAGCGGGAGCGAAGAAGAGGAGGAGGAUUCUGGGGUAACGAUUUGCACAAAGAAUUCCAAAAUGGUGGUAAAGAAUGGUUCCAGCGUGCAGGUGUCCCAGCAGCCCCAGUCCCCAGCUGCAACCAAAAGCAAAUCAUCAGGCUUCAAGGCUGCGCUGAGGGCACUCAAAAACAAGCUGAGAACAGAACAGAAACAGGAGAGCCUAGUGUGUGGUGAUCCACUGUUGAAGAAUAGAAAGCGAGACCAUAGUGACCUGCAGGCCUCCAGUCUCAAAGAACUCAACACUCACAGAAACUCUCUCAGUAAGGCAAUACAAAACCUGAGCACUGAGCUGGUAGUUCACCUCCAGGCUCGAGACCAGCUGAGGACGGAACAGGACGCCAUGCUGCUGGAGGUACAGGAUAUGACAUCACUCUGACCCAGUCCCAGGCAAGAUGGGGGACGGUUUGUGCCGCAGAUUUCGUACUAGAAAUUCCUCUCCAGGGUUCAAUCUCUAUGAGAAGGCCCAUCACUAUAGAAUCCUUCUAAUCAUUCUAAUUCUAUGGUGUCAUCACAUGAAAUGGAAUCCUGGUGUCGGUGAUGUCACAAUUAAUCGAUGACGGAUUAGACGCCGCUUCUUCAAACGAAAGGAUGAGUCAAAUCACUGUGAAGAGACUGCAUCACUCCUAAAGACUGUUGAAUUGAAUUGCACAGUGUUUUGUUUUUCUUUUUAUACCCAGUUACCAAAACUGGUUGAAAUGACAUCAUUACACCCAGUUUUACAUUCAUUAUGACAUCACGUCGACCAGUUUUGUUUUCCCUCUGUGUUUUUUUUGUUUGUGGGAAAUCAAAUGUGUAUGUCUGGACUGUUAAUGUUUUAGUGUUUUAGGG
rnacentral:lncRNA from 13 species